UACGGAGGGGGCUAGUGUUGUUCGGAAUUACUGGGCGUAAAGGGCGCGCAGGCGGCUUGGCAAGUCGAGUGUGAAAUCCCUUGGCUUAACUAAGGAAUGGCGCUCGAAACUACCUCGCUAGAGGACGGGAGAGGGAAGUGGAACUCUCGGUGUAGGGGUGAAAUCUGUAGAUAUCGAGAGGAACACCGGUGGCGAAGGCGGCUUCCUGGCCCGUAGCUGACGCUGAGGCACGAAAGCGUGGGGAGCAAACAGG
rnacentral:rRNA from 1 species